CAAACUCUCCGAGUGUAACGGGAGCAAUGCACGUACCCCUCGUUUCCAAUCAUGUGUGUCAUAGUUUGAUGACCUCAGAGAACAAGUCCAGGAAGCAUGAAUUCAGCAAGCAAGGUGGGCGAGAUCUUUGUGGAGGCUGGCGAGGCGUUCAACCGGCUGGGUAAUAUGGCUGUGCAGCUACAACAGGCAUCACCCAAUGCCACCAACAGUGGAAAAUGGCGUGAGGAAGAAAUCGAAAUGCUUCAUGAAGCCGUGAAAAGAUUUGGCGCAGACCCUCAGAAGAUCGGCGAAAUCCUGAAAACACGAAGCGUGAGCCAGAUCCGUAACGCGCUCAAGACGAAAGCCUUUGGCGGAGCGCAGGCACACGGCGGGGCGGCGGCGCGGCCGCGGCCGGCGCCUAGCGCCAAACAGCAGGC
rnacentral:lncRNA from 1 species